AUUGAACGCUGGCGGCAUGCUUUACACAUGCAAGUCGAACGGUAGAGGGGGCAACCCCUUGAGAGUGGCGAACGGGUGAGUAAUGCAUCGGAACGUGCCCAGUCGUGGGGGAUAACGCAGCGAAAGCUGUGCUAAUACCGCAUACGAUCUCUGGAUGAAAGCGGGGGACCUUGUGGCAAUAAGGGGCCUCGCGCGAUUGGAGCGGCCGAUGUCAGAUUAGGUAGUUGGUGGGGUAAAGGCUCACCAAGCCAACGAUCUGAAGCUGGUCUGAGAGGACGACCAGCGACACUGGGACUGAGACACGGCCCAGACUCCUACGGGAGGCAGCAGUGGGGAAUUUUGGACAAUGGGCGCAAGCCUGAUCCAGCAAUGCCGCGUGCAGGAAGAAGGCCUUCGGGUUGUAAACUGCUUUUGUACGGAACGAAAAGGUCUGGGUUAAUACCCUGGGCACAUGACGGUACCGUAAGAAUAAGCACCGGCUAACUACGUGCCAGCCGCCGCCGUAA
rnacentral:rRNA from 1 species